UACGGGGGGAGCAAGCGUUGUUCGGAUUUACUGGGCGUAAAGGGUGCGUAGGUGGUUCGCUAAGUCCGUUGUGAAAGCCCCGAGCUCAACUUGGGAAUUGCAGUGGAUACUGGCGAGCUAGAGUGCGGUAGAGGAAGGUGGAAUUCCCGGUGUAGCGGUGAAAUGCGUAGAGAUCGGGAGGAACACCAGUGGCGAAGGCGGCCUUCUGGACCAGCACUGACACUCAAGCACGAAAGCGUGGGGAGCAAACAGG
rnacentral:rRNA from 1 species